UACGUAGGGGGCAAGCGUUGUCCGGAUUUAUUGGGCGUAAAGAGCGUGUAGGCGGCCAGACAAGUCUGCUGUGAAAACUCGAGGCUCAACCUCGAGCUGUCGGUGGAAACCAUCAGGCUAGAGUCCGGAAGAGGAGAGUGGAAUUCCUGGUGUAGCGGUGAAAUGCGCAGAUAUCAGGAGGAACAGCGGUGGUGUAGACGGCUUACUGGACCACGACUGACACUGAGGCACGAAAGCGUGGGUAGCAAACAGG
rnacentral:rRNA from 1 species